rnacentral:rRNA from 1 species
UACGUAGGGGGCAAGCGUUGUCCGGAUUUACUGGGCGUAAAGAGCGCGUAGGCGGAGAGUUAAGCGUGCCUUGAAAGCCCCCGGCUCAACCGGGGAAGGUGGGUGCGAACUGGCUUUCUUGAGGGCGAUAGAGGGGGGCGGAAUUCCUGGUGUAGCGGUGAAAUGCGUAGAGAUCAGGAGGAACACCCGUGGCGAAGGCGGCCCCCUGGGUCGGCCCUGACGCUGAGGCGCGAAAGCUAGGGGAGCAAACGGG